rnacentral:rRNA from 1 species
CCUACGGGGUGCAGCAGUGAGGAAUAUUGGUCAAUGGCCGGAAGGCUGAACCAGCCAAGCCGCGUGAAGGACGAAGGUGCCAAGCAUUGUAAACUUCUUUUGUCAAGGGACAAAAUCAGGCUCGAGAGCCUGACCGAGGGUACUUGAAGAAAAAGCAUCGGCUAACUCCGUGCCAGCAGCCGCGGUAAUACGGAGGAUGCGAGCGUUAUCCGGAUUUAUUGGGUUUAAAGGGUGCGUAGGCGGGCUGUUAAGUCAGCGGUAAAAGCCCGGGGCUCAACCCCGGCGAGCCGUUGAAACUGGCUGUCUUGAGAUGUCGAGAGGUAUGCGGAAUGCGCAGUGUAGCGGUGAAAUGCUUAGAUAGUGCGCAGAACACCAGUGGCGAAGGCGGCUUACUGGACUGUAACUGACGUUGAGGCUCGAAAGCGUGGGGAGCAAACAGGAUUAGAUACCCCGGUAGUC